AACUACAAUUAGAUUUCAGCAUUCAAUCUUUCUUCUUCUCAAAUAAUACCAAUCACAUUUCCAUUCCAUAAUUCACUUCACAAUAUUCAGAAAUUCUCAAUCCUCAUAUUCAAAGAAAAUAACAAACAAAAGAAAAGAGGUAGCACCAAGCUUAUCCCAACUCACACUAUCACAGUCUAGCCCUCGGCUUACAACUCUCACAGUCUGGCCCUUGGCUUACAACUCUCAUAAUCUGGCCCUCGACUUACAACUCUCAUAGUCUGGCAUCUUCUUCACUUCAUCCAUCCUCCUUAUACUACCCCAAAAUACCAACUCCUAUACUACAGAUGAUAACUACUUUUCCUGACUAUUUAAGUUGUAUAAUCUUCAUAGAUCUAUUUUGGUAUAGAUCUUUGCUUGAUUGAGUUGGUCAAGAAGUCCUUAAAUCAAAGGUAAAGGAUAUCUAUUUUUGAUGGUGAUUGUGAUUGCUCGUUUUACUUAUUCUGGAAAAAAACCUCACAGAAUAAACCCGUAUAGGCGGAUUCAAACACGGGGAAUGACUAGUUGCUUAAGCGUUCACGUUAAGAUCACACAAUCAAUUACCUCCUAAAUGUAUCUUGUCUAUUUCCAAUAUCUGAAGAAACAAGGAAACUAUAAUCUCCUCCUUCACCUUAUCGGUCUCUUCUUUACACCAAUUCAGUCAUACCAAUAACUGCUAUUUCCACCAAUAUAUUCACCAUCAUAAUUUCCAACUAUAAUACUGCGUUGUCGUAUUACGUGCUUUCCUGCUCGAGAACGCGUCGGGCGUCUGGCUGUAGAAGGUAGUAUGGAGAUUCGUCGAUAGUCAAGCAGUCUAUCAGUUUUGACUGUUGGAAUAUAAACGACUGCAACAAUGUACCGUAAAUCUAUACGGAUGCUCUU
rnacentral:lncRNA from 1 species